ensembl:lncRNA
UGAAAACACAGUUCCCCAACUCCCCCACGGACGGUUCGGGGAGAGCUGGCGGCUACCUACGCUCGCGCGUCGCUCUCUGCUCCCGGCUCCUGGGAGAGCUCCCUGAGGGCAGGGCCCGGCUCGCUUCCCGGGCGGUUUCCCAGGCGCCCUUGCGCUGAGCCCCGACGGCGCGCCUGCGCACUAAGUACCGACCCGUCGACCAGGCCAACGCCUGUGCCCGCGCCGCUUGCCGCUUCUCCUCAGGGACACGGCUCGGCUUAGAGGCCUGCGACUCGAAAGCUGCAGUCAAUGGAGGGCGUGAUUCUUCUGUCCGUUCUCUACCGAGAGAUCGGGCGACUAGCCCAGAGCGGAGGGAGAGCAGCGGAAAGUGCGACGCCGCGGCGUGGGCCCAGGGGCAAAGCCGGCCAGGGCGCAGGCGCGCGGGCCCUCAGGCUCCCGGCGCCAUCUUGCGCCGUCGCGGGAGGCGAUCCGUCCCCAUCCUGGCCGUUCGGGGCUGCGAGAUUUAUUUUGGUGGGCCUUUGGCAAAAUGAACCAGAUAAGAGUGUGUUCUCUCCUGGGCUGACAACCUGCAUUGUAGAAGCCAGAUCACCUCUGCAUACCAUUCUCAUCACAUCGUCAGGUGUUGACAUAGUACGGUGUUCACAGCUUCCAGAGUCAGAGCUCUAGCAGACCUCUCCAGAGUACCUAACUCAACAUCUCCACUUGCUUGAGGGUAAGCAUUUCAAACGUAACACAUCAAAAGGAGAGCUCUGGAUUUUCUGCUCUUCCCCUGCCCAAACCUGUGACUCAACGGCUCACUAAAUAACACUUCCAUCUACCCAGCCGCUCAAACCAAAAAUAUAGGACUCAUUUGCGAUGUUUUUCUCCUUUGCCACAAAUACACAGAUUAUCAGCAGGGUUUGUGUAUUUUGUCUCCGAAACGCCUGUUGUAUUUGCCCACUUCUCCUUAUCUCCUCUGCCAUCCCGCUGGUUCAGAGUACUGUCAUCCUGCCUCAUAGCUGGUCUACAGGCCUCCCCUCUUCAAUCUCUCGUCCCCUAGUUCUCCACACAGCGACAUGACUCAUCUUUCUAUGGAUUAUGUCAGACCUUAUUUGAACAUCUUUAAUGACU